UCAUUGAUAUAUUUGAUAUGUGUGCUUUGGUUGUAUUAGCAUGAUUUCCAGGUAUAGGUUUUGAUGAAUGACAAACAAUGAAGUCAAUUGUCAAACAGGUUGUAUUAGCAUGAUUUCCAGGUAUAGGUUUUGAUGAAUGACAAACAAUGAAGUCGAUUGUCAAACAACGAUAUUGAAUGACAAACGACGAAGAUGCAUUAGCAAACAAUCGAGAUGGUUGACGAAUCAAUUAUGAUGAACCAAACAAAUCAAGAUUGGAUGCCAAGAAGCAUAUUGAUGACGGGAUUGCAUAGACAAG
rnacentral:lncRNA from 1 species